rnacentral:misc_RNA from 1 species
GGAUGAAGAACGUAGCGAAAUGCGAUAACUAAUGUGAAUUGCAGAAUUCCGUGAAUCAUUGAGUCUUUGAACGCACAUUGCACCCUCUGGUAUUCCGGGGGGUAUGCCUGUCCGAGCGUCAUUACAACCCCUCAAGCCCGGCUUGUGUGAUGGGUGGUCUGUCUUCCCCGUUAGUUAGGGGAAGAUGCCCUCGAAAUCUAGUGGGAACGUCUAGGUAGUUCUAGGCUCAGUCAAUGGGAACAUUCUAGCGACUGCAGCUUCUUGCUUAGAUGUUCAUCCUAGCUAAACAUUCUUUCCAGGUUGACCUCGGAUCAGGUAGGGAUACCCGCUGAACUUAAGCAUAUCAAUAAGCGGAGGA